GACGAACGCUGGCGGCGUGCUUAACACAUGCAAGUCGAACGGAAAGGCCCUGCUUUUGUGGGGUGCUCGAGCGGCGAACGGGUGAGUAACACGUGAGUAACCUGCCCUUGACUUUGGGAUAACUUCAGGAAACUGGGGCUAAUACCGGAUAGGAGCUCCUGCUGCAUGGUGGGGGUUGGAAAGGUUCGGCGGUUGGGGAUGGACUCGCGGCUUAUCAGCUUGUUGGUGGGGUAGUGGCUUACCAAGGCUUUGACGGGUAGCCGGCCUGAGAGGGUGACCGGCCACAUUGGGACUGAGAUACGGCCCAGACUCCUCCGGGAGGAAGCAGUGGGGAAUAUUGCACAAUGGGCGGAACCCUGAUGCAGCAACGCCGCGUGCGGGAUGACGGCCUUCGGGUUGUAAACCGCUUUCGCCUGUGACGAAGCGUGAGUGACGGUAAUGGGUAAAGAAGCACCGGCUAACUACGUG
rnacentral:rRNA from 1 species